GAUGAACGCUGGCGGCGUGCCUAAUACAUGCAAGUCGAGCGAACAGACGAGGAGCUUGCUCCUCUGACGUUAGCGGCGGACGGGUGAGUAACACGUGGAUAACCUACCUAUAAGACUGGGAUAACUUCGGGAAACCGGAGCUAAUACCGGAUAAUAUAUUGAACCGCAUGGUUCAAUAGUGAAAGGCGGUCUUGCUGUCACUUAUAGAUGGAUCCGCGCCGCAGUAGCUGGUUGGUAAGGUAACGGCUUACCAAGGCGACGAUGCGUAGCCGACCUGGGAGGGUGAUCGGCGACACUGGAACUGAGACACGGUCCAGACUCCUACGGGAGGCAGCAGUAGGGAAUCUUCCGCAAUGGGCGAAAGCCUGACGGAGCAACGCCGCGUGAGUGAUGAAGGUCUUCGGAUCGUAAAACUCUGUUAUUAGGGAAGAACAAAUGUGUAAGUAACUGUGCACGUCUUGACGGUACCUAAUCAGAAAGCCACGGCUAACUACGUG
rnacentral:rRNA from 1 species